rnacentral:rRNA from 1 species
AGAGUUUGAUCAUGGCUCAGAACGAACGCUGGCGGCAGGCCUAACACAUGCAAGUCGAACGCUCUUUUCGGAGAGAGUGGCGCACGGGUGAGUAACGCGUGGGAAUCUACCCUUUGGUUCGGAAUAACCCUGGGAAACUAGGGCUAACACCGGAUAAGCCCCGAGAGGGGGAAAGUUUACGCCGAAGGAGGAGCCCGCGUCCGAUUAGCUAGUUGGUGAGGUAAGAGCUCACCAAGGCUACGAUCGGUAGCUGGUCUGAGAGGACGAUCAGCCACACUGGGACUGAGACACGGCCCAGACUCCUACGGGAGGCAGCAGUGGGGAAUAUUGGACAAUGGGCGCAAGCCUGAUCCAGCCAUGCCGCGUGAGUGAUGAAGGCCUUCGGGUUGUAAAGCUCUUUUGGCGGGGACGAUGAUGACGGUACCCGCAGAAUAAGCCCCGGCAAACUUCGUGCCAGCAGCCGCGGUAAGACGAAGGGGGCAAGCGUUGUUCGGAAUUACUGGGCGUAAAGGGCGCGUAGGCGGCUCUUUUAGUCAGGCGUGAAAGCCCUGGGCUCAACCUGGGAGUGGCGCUUGAUACUGGAGGGCUAGAGAGUGGGAGAGGUUGGUGGAAUUCCCAGUGUAGAGGUGAAAUUCGUAGAUAUUGGGAAGAACACCGGUGGCGAAGGCGGCCAACUGGACCAUUUCUGACGCUGAGACGCGAAAGCGUGGGGAGCAAACAGGAUUAGAUACCCUAGUAGUCC